GAUGAAGAACGCAGCGAAAUGCGAUAAGUAAUGUGAAUUGCAGAAUUCAGUGAAUCAUCGAAUCUUUGAACGCACCUUGCGCUCUUUGGUAUUCCGAAGAGCAUGCCUGUUUGAGUGUCAUGAAAAUAUCAACCUUGACUUGGGUUUUGUGCUCUAGUCUCGGCUUGGAAUUGGGUGCUUGCCGCUUUUACGAGCGGCUCACCUUAAAUGUAUUAGCUGGAUCUGUCUUUGAGACUUGGUUUGACUUGGCGUAAUAAGUAUUUCGCUAAGGACAUUCUUCGGAGUGGCCUCGUUUCUAGGACGCUUGUCCGCUUUCCAAUACAAGUUCCACCUCGUGGACAUGACUUUUUAUUAUCUGGCCUCAAUCAGGUAGGACUACCCGCUGAACUUAAGCAUAUCAAUAAGCGGAGGA
rnacentral:misc_RNA from 1 species